GGCUCAAUGGUCUAGUGGUAGGAUACUCGCUUCGGGUUUGUACGAAAUCCCAUCUCGUAGAACGAGAUAAUGUGAGUGGUCCCGGGUUCAAAUCCCGGUUGAGCCC